rnacentral:rRNA from 1 species
UGAACGCUGGCGGCGUGCCUAAUACAUGCAAGUCGAGCGAACAGACGAGGAGCUUGCUCCUCUGCCGUUAGCGGCGGACAGGUGAGUAACACGUGGAUAACCUACCUAUAAGACUGGGAUAACUUCGGGAAACCGGAGCUAAUACCGGAUAAUAUAUUGAACCGCAUGGUUCAAUAGUGAAAGACGGUUUUGCUGUCACUUAUAGAUGGAUCCGCGCCGCAUUAGCUAGUUGGUAAGGUAACGGCUUACCAAGGCAACGAUGCGUAGCCGACCUGAGAGGGUGAUCGGCCACACUGGAACUGAGACACGGUCCAGACUCCUACGGGAGGCAGCAGUAGGGAAUCUUCCGCAAUGGGCGAAAGCCUGACGGAGCAACGCCGCGUGAGUGAUGAAGGUCUUCGGAUCGUAAAACUCUGUUAUUAGGGAAGAACAAAUGUGUAAGUAACUAUGCAGGUCUUGACGGUACCUAAUCAGAAAGCCACGGCUAACUACGUG